rnacentral:rRNA from 1 species
UACGUAGGGGGCAAGCGUUGUCCGGAUUUAUUGGGCGUAAAGAGCGUGUAGGCGGCCGCACAGGUCCGUUGUGAAAACUGGAGGCUUAACCUUCAGACGUCGAUGGAAACCGUGCGGCUAGAGUCCGGAAGAGGAGAGUGGAAUUCCUGGUGUAGCGGUGAAAUGCGCAGAUAUCAGGAAGAACACCAAUGGCGAAGGCAGCUCUCUGGGACGGUACUGACGCUGAGACGCGAAAGCGUGGGGAGCGAACAGG